rnacentral:tRNA from 3 species
GUGGGUAUAGCUCAGCUGGUUAGAGCGCCAGAUUGUGGCUCUGGAGGCCAAGAGUUCGAAUCUCUUUACUCACCCCA